rnacentral:tRNA from 1 species
GCAUUGGUGGUUCAGUGUUAGAAUUCUCAUCUUCCAUGCAGGAAACCUGGGUUCAAUUCCCAGCCAACGCA